GACGAACGCUGGCGGCGUGCUUAACACAUGCAAGUCGAACGGAAAGGCCCUUCUUGCAGUGUACUCGAGUGGCGAACGGGUGAGUAACACGUGUGUGAUCUGCCCUGCACUUCGGGAUAAGCCUGGGACACUGGGUCUAAUACCGGAUAGGAGCCAUUUUUAUUGUGAUGGUUGGAAAGUUUUUUCGGUGUAGGAUGAGCUCGCGGCCUAUCAGCUUGUUGGUGGGGUAAUGGCCUACCAAGGCGGCGACGGGUAGCCGGCCUGAGAGGGUGGACGGCCACAUUGGGACUGAGAUACGGCCCAGACUCCUACGGGAGGCAGCAGUGGGGAAUAUUGCACAAGGGGCGGAAGCCUGAUGCAGCGACGCCGCGUGGGGGAUGACGGCCUUCGGGUUGUAAACUGCUUUCGGUAGGGACGAAGCUUUUUGUGACGGUACCUAGAUAAGAAGCACCGGCUAACUACGUG
rnacentral:rRNA from 1 species